rnacentral:rRNA from 1 species
UAGUCCACGCCGUAAACGAUGGAUACUAGGUGUUCGGAGAUUAACCCUCUGAGUACCAAAGCUAACGCAUUAAGUAUCCCGCCUGGGGAGUACGGUCGCAAGGCUAAAACUCAAAGGAAUUGACGGGGGCCCGCACAAGCGGUGGAGUAUGUGGUUUAAUUCGAAGCAACGCGCAGAACCUUACCUGGUCUUGACAUCCUGUGACAACCCUAGAGAUAGGGCUUCCUCUUCGGAGGCAUAGUGACAGGUGCUGCAUGGCUGUCGUCAGCUCGUGUCGUAAGAUGUUAGGUUAAGUCCUGCAACGAGCGCAACCCCUACCUUUAGUUGCCAGCAUUAAGUUGGGCACUCUAGAGGGACUGCCGGUGUUAAACCGGAGGAAGGCGGGGAUGACGUCAAGUCCUCAUGGCCCUUACGACCAGGGCUACACACGUACUACAAUGGUAGAAACAAACAGUUGCGAAGCCGCGAGGUGGAGCCAAUCUGUAAAACACUAUCUCAGUCCGGAUUGAAGUCUGCAACUCGACUU